rnacentral:rRNA from 1 species
CCUACGGGGGGCAGCAGUGGGGAAUAUUGCGCAAUGGGCGAAAGCCUGACGCAGCGACGCCGCGUGAGGGAUGAAGGUCUUCGGAUCGUAAACCUCUGUCAGCAGGGAAGAACGGUCACUGUGCUAAUCAGCAGUGAAUUGACGGUACCUGCAAAGGAAGCACCGGCUAACUCCGUACCAGCAGCCGCGGUAAUACGGAGGUGGCGAGCGUGAAUCGGAAUUACUGGGCGUAAAGCGCUCGUAGGCGGUAUGUCAAGUCAAGGGUGAAAGCCCCGGGCUCAACGUGGGAACUGCCGUUGAAACUGGCAAACUGGAGUGUGUGAGAGGAUGGUGGAAUUCCUGGUGUAGCGGUGAAAUCCGUAGAUAUCUGGAGGAACAUCAGUGGCGAAGGCGGCUCUCUGGCACAUAACUGACGCUGAGGAGCGAAAGCGUGGGUAGCAAACAGGAUUAGAUACCCGGGUAGUC